rnacentral:rRNA from 1 species
CCCCAAAAACCAAAAAUGUGACGGGAGUUACCCAAAGUGUUCACCUUUGAACUGUGGUAGGUGAGUAAUUUCCCCUUUUAGAAAGGAGAGGGCAAGGCUGGUGCCAGCCGCCGCCUUAAAACCAGCUCUUCAAGUGGUCGGGAUAAUUAUUGGGCUUAAAGUGUCCGUAGCCGGUUUAGUAAGUUCCUGGUAAAAUCGGGUAGCUUAACUAUCUGCAUGCUAGGAAUACUGCUAUACUAGAGGGCGGGAGAGGUCUGAGGUACUACAGGGGUAGGGGUGAAAUCUUAUAAUCCUUGUAGGACCACCAGUGGCGAAGGCGUCAGACUGGAACGCGCCUGACGGUGAGGGACGAAAGCCAGGGGAGCGAACCGGAUUAGAUACCCGGGUAGUCCUGGCCGUAAACGAUGCAUACUAGGUGAUGGUACGGCCGUGAGCCGUGUCAGUGCCGUAGGGAAACCGUUAAGUGUGCCGCCUGGGAAGUACGGUCGCAAGGCUAAAACUUAAAGGAAUUGGCGGGGGA